UAAGGCAAGCAGAUGAUCGCUGGUUUUAGGGUGCAAACUCUUGAAAAUCAGAGGAAAGUCCGGACUCCUCGGGAGAAUGAUACCAGCUAACGGCUGGCCACGAAAUCUGAAUCUAUAGGAUUUCUGAGGGAAAGUGUCACAGAAAAUAUACCGCCAAGAAAUUGGUAAGGGUGAAAAGGCGAGGUAAAAGCUCACCAACUUGCAUGGCAACAUGCAUUUGGAAAAACCCUAUCUGGAGCAAGGUCAAAUAGGAAUAGCAGGUUGCAAAACCGGAUGCGCUCCUGCAUCGUUAUUCGGGUAGACUGCUUGAGGUCAGCGGCGACGCUGAUCCUAGAUGAAUGAUCGUCACUCGAGAAAUCGAGAACAAAAUCCGGCUUAUGCUUGUCUUACUUU
rnacentral:RNase_P_RNA from 5 species